GAUCUUGGAGGUGAACGCGUUGGCCCGGCUUCGCAGUUCGAGGCGGCCCGGCGAGGAAGUUCCCGACUUCGAGCACAGUAGUUCUCGAGAGCAUCGCGCGUUUGUACAGUCUCGCCGUCGCCGAGUCCUGCUCACACGCUGCUAGGAUUAGAGAGACACUGGAAAGUGCAGGGGUUGGCGCAGGAGGCUUCCUUGUAGCAACGGCGGGACAUUUCUUUGAGGAAGUCCAGUGUAAAGGAAAAGAGGGCUAAAGCGUAGAGAAGGAUUUGAAGUUUCUCCUUGAUUACGCGAGGAAGGCAAUAGCAAGGCUAACCUGUUGAAAAAGGUAAAGGCCAAUGUAGAAGUUGCCUGUUAAGGAACUGUGGUAUGGUUGCUAUGGGAAGUUUGUGACUUCGUGAGUUUGGAGGGAGAUGCGACAAUGUUAUGCACUCCGUGACGCAGAGUAAAUUUUGCCGAAGGGUCUCUUGCGUGCUAUCUUAACAUGUUCGUUCGGCAUGUUUGGAUUAUAAUUGCACGCUCAUGCGUUCUCAACGAUAUACUGGCGAAAUGUCUGGACAGAAUGCUUGCGCAGCAUGAAGUCGAUGUAGCUCCCUGUGACGUGCCAGUGGAAAAUUAGGAAACUAAUUUGGCUGUGAUGGGUUCAAAGGAGCGACAAUACACGCGGCAGUAUGCCAACUAGAAGCGAAUUCUAUGCGGAUGGCACUGCAUCGGGUAGGAUACACACCCAGAGAUCAGCCACGGCGUACUAGUGGAGAUGGCUGAACACCGAAAGGAACUACAGAAGAAAACAGAGCUCAUUCUCGAUACUCUGAGAAGCUACCAAGACUUGCCUCUAGGAAUUUUCCCUUUUCCUCUUGCCUCAUAUUGACUCGAGCUGAACACUACAAAUGUUUACCACUUCACCUGUAUUGAGGUCUAUCUUAUUCCUCAAAUAUACUUGUCUUGAUUCAUAAUCUUCUCGCAGGACAAGGGUUUAGCUGUUUUAGCAAUUUGAGGACAAGAAAAGGCGGUAUGCUGCAGCUGAGAAAUAUCUCGAAGACAUGUUGCAUUCAGCUCUUGCAACAUCUGAAUGAGGACGGAUAUCGAUCUCAUCUAAGCAUCGCCUCAUUUGUUUAUUUCUCUGGGGGUGAAGCAAAAGACAGGUCUGGUUUCUCGUUGUUUGCGAAACCCAUGAAAGAUUGAGCCAUCUUUCUGGGGAGCUCGUGGU